CCUCAGCAUGUCCUCAUGUCCUCAGCAUGUCCUCAUCAGUUCCUCAUGUCCUCAUCAUGUCCUCAUCAUGUCCUCAUGUCCUCAUCAUGUCCUCAUCAUGUCCUCAUCAUGUCCUCAUGUCCUCAUCAUGUCCUCAUCAUGUCCUCAUCGUGUCCUCAGCGUGUCCUCAGCGUGUCCUCAGCGUGUCCUCACCAUGUCCUCAGCUGUGUAUCAGCGUGUCUUUACACCUCGUUCUCGUCUCUGCUUUGGACAGACGUCCGUCUCAGGUU